CAUUUGCGAGUUGAGGACAGAUGAAGUGUACAUGACAGUCAAUUCCUCCAGCAGUUACAAUCAUUCCUUCCCCUGCAAUAACCUCGGUAUUCACCUGCAUUUUAAUACACGGAGAGGCACAAUAGUAAAACAGAAAAACAAUAUUAAACAAUGGUGCAAUAUCAACACAUAAAAUAAUACAUCAUGAUCAACAAAGAAAGGGAAGAAAAUUACACCAACUAUCAUAUCCUUGUGCACACCGUCCAUUACAUCUGGAUUCCCCGCCUUACCAAUGGAGCUGAUGAACUCCCCUUUAAUGCCUAUAUCUGCCUUGUAGAUCCCCAUAUAGUCAAUGAUCAAGGCAUUUGUGAUAACAGUAUCCAAGCAAACGGAUGACGGGUAACCAGUUGCUUGUCCCAUCCCAUCACGUAGG
rnacentral:sRNA from 1 species